AAUUGUAAUAUGGUCGAGUGUGUCUUGGCCUAUAACGGAGAGCAGCACUGUGGUGCUUGGUUCACAUAUGCCGUCUUUAAAGCGGCUGAAGCGACGCACUUCCGCCAAGCGAAGUCCAUCCUGUUGGGCCCAAGAAAGGACUUCUGCAACUGAGAUAUCUGUAUCAACAUCCCAAAUGAGAAAGUCAGUACGGACAGAAUUAGUAGCAAAUCUCACUGCUAUCGAGAUAGAGCCAAGAGACGUCAUGUUUACUAUGUCCGCAGCGCAGUCAUAAUCCAAAGUUUUGAGUAUGAGGUGCCUGGAGUGAGAAAAGUGCACAUCCUCAAGUAGUGAAGAGUGUGACAGAGCAGACUGUAAAAGCCUAUACAGUACCGAAGGGGAAGACUUCGGGAACAGGCCACCAUCUCUGCAUGUUACAAAGAAGACGAAGGGGCAAGGAUGAAAACAUUGUUGGCGACAGAAAGAGAGGAUAUCAACAGCAGACCACUCUCCGUUGACCCAGAGCGAAAAAGGGUCGACUCCAGCGGAGGCCUGCUCCUUGGAGGUAGGAGCUAGAAUGGAUGCCCC
rnacentral:lncRNA from 1 species